rnacentral:rRNA from 1 species
UACAGAGGGGGCAAGCGUUGUUCGGAAUUACUGGGCGUAAAGGGCGCGUAGGCGGCCUGCUAAGUCGAACGUGAAAUCCCCCGGGCUCAACCCGGGAACUGCGUCCGAUACUGGUUGGCUUGAAUCCGGGAGAGGGAUGUGGAAUUCCAGGUGUAGCGGUGAAAUGCGUAGAUAUCUGGAGGAACACCGGUGGCGAAGGCGGCAUCCUGGACCGGUAUUGACGCUGAGGCGCGAAAGCCAGGG